AAAUAUGAUUGAGAUGCGUUUUUUCUUCUUCUAUGGGUUUGUGUUAUUAAAAUAUCCGAGACAAGUUGUUAGAAAUAUUAUCAUGAGGGGGUGGAUAAACUGUAGCUUAUGUCAUCAUCUAAUCAGCAUAGACGUAACCCGGAAGAAAUCAACACAUUCCCACUGUGCGUUGUUACUGUGAAAUGAAAUUAAUUGGGACUUCUCUAAAAUUUUAGACGUGUAACUGUCACUAUCAUCAAGCCGAUUUGACACAUUAUUCAGCGUGUAUCAUUUUAGGAUUCCAGUUGAAAGUGUAAGGUAGGAGAGAAAUGAAUAGACAUAUGGGGAUAAAUUAUUUCAUUUAUAGGCGAGAUGAUGAAUGAGUGAUCGGCAACACUAUGAAUGUCCCGCCUACUUCCUGGAUCAUGCCCACUGUUUUUGAAUGGCAUUCAAAAUUAUAUAAUCAUAUUCAUGGGAACGCGGUCAUUGAAGAUGUAUGUAAAAUGUUAUUCGUGGAUUAAUUUACUUCUAUCUGAUGCCUUUCAUGAACGUUUUCAUUGUUUUCUUUUUUGUAAUUGAAUACCUUCAUAACGAAUAGAAUUAUAAAUAUAUCUUAAAAUAUAUAUUUCACAGGGACCUGCUGCUGACUGUGAGGCAGGUUGUUACUGUGAGUGAGUGGUUGGGGGGACCGGAGGGGUGUGUGUGUGUGAGUUGAGAGAGCACUACAGCUAUUGGCUCGCGCGCACGUCGUGACAUACAUUGCAGAAUAACUUAUUCCAUUCCCUUUAAUGUUAGUUUUCCUCUAAUGUAGACGUUGUCUGGUGAGCUGCUGGAGUAGAUGAACUGUUGGCCUCCCGAGUGGCGCAGCGGUCUAAGGCGCAGCUUGCAAUAAUUAUUAUGAGGAAAACUGAAUUUAGCUUCCAACGUCGUUACAAGUUACUAUCUUUAAUUAUCUCGGUAACAUUAUGGAAAAGGGGUUUACAAUAUAAAUGGCAACUCCUCUUGCUGUGAAAAAAAGGAGCUUGUUUUCAGGCCUUUUGGGCACUUUUUGAGUUGUCAUUGGUCUGGAAAUUUUGCUUGACCUGGCAACCCUGCUCUUAGAGAGAAGGGGGAUAUCUGUCAGAAGUAAAACAUAGCAUUUUGUAUUUCAGAUCUGCUUCCCCAUUUCAUCAACACUGACAAUUUCCCUGUUUAAACAUCCUGGUUUCCAUUCAUCUGUGAUCAUUAUUCAUAACUUCAAUAUUGAACCAACAUGGCCAUGUUCUACUUCUGAGUAAGCAAUGGUUCUUUAUAUUAUAUAGCUUUUGCCUAUCCAUAUUGUAUACAAUUUGUUCAUGUCUGCACACCACCAACAUGUUACACCUGAAGAGGUCGCCUGGCAUCCGCUCCUGGUCGCUGCUCAUAGGUAUUGCAUCCAUUGGCCUGGCUGCUGCAUACUACAGCUCCGACAGUAUCCUGUGGAAGCUUUUCUACGUGACGGGCUGUCUGUUCGUGGCCAUGCAGAACAUGGAGGAGUGGGAGGAGGCAGUGUUUGAUAAAACCAAGAAAGUGAUAGAGCUGAAGACCUUCAGUCUGUAUGCCAUGAUUCUCACCAUGUGUAGGAGAGGCCAGGAGAAAGUGAUGAUGGACAUGAGGCACCUGCGUGACAUGUGUUCAGGAAGAGAAGGUGCGUUACCUAGGGAAGGGCUACCUGCUGGUGCUGCGACUGGCCACAGGUUUCUCCUACCCCCUCACACAGAGCCCCACCAUGGGGGGACGCAGUGAUGUGGAGGCAGUGGCUUCGUUGCUCAAGCGUUUCCUGGGUCUGGAGGAGCUCCAGUGUCGCUGGGAGCAGGAGGAAGAGGCAGUCAGGGAGGAAGAUGAACUGAACCCCAGCACUGACUCCGGAGAAGAGGGGGACUAAGUGCAGUAGAAGGAGAAGAGAUGAGGGGAAGCCACAGCAGACUUGAAAUGCACCCAAAUAUAUUUUACAGCAUUUUGUAGUAUCUCUGAUACUAUAAAUUGCCUUAAAUACGCUUCAAUGGUAGAGUUUUCCACAGAAUAUUUAAACAAAUUCAUAGUUUGUGUUGCCUGUUCUUCAAAAACAAUCAUUACUGUAUUCGACUCAACCCUAUAAUUACAGUGCCUUUCUAUUUAAAUGUAAUCAGUAUGUGUGAAAUACUCAUUCAAAACAUUCCCACAGUUUAGGGAACACAGUGUGUUUGAGACCUCCCAAGUGAUAAUCUUGGUCUAGUAGGAUUGUCUCUACUCACUGCAACCAUCCAUCCAUCUGAAUGCAUGUGACUGUAAACUAUAAUCAAGCAUGGAUUUCCAGGGAUCAGUUAAGAAUGUUUGCCUGUUUUUAUGUUAAAGUAAAUACUUGCAUGUCUUUCAGCAUUGAUGGGUCCUAUCACUAGGGUCAGACAGAAUCUGGGGAGGCAAAACCUCUAGAAUGAACUUGAUCUAACAGCUUCUACAUCUGCAUUGCCUGCUGUUUGGGGUUUUGGGCUGGGUUUCUGUAUAAAACUUUGUGACAUCUGCUGAUGUAAAAAAAGGGUGUAAUAAAUACAUUUGAUUGAUUUAUUAUUCAUAGGGUAAACUACAGAUUUCGUCUGGCCUUAUAUACACAAAACGAAAGACCAGUCUCAGGUAACAUUCCUGUCCAUAGACAAAUGUGUUAAUAACAAUAUGUAUGUUUGACAAAUAAACUGUAUUACAUUGUAUCUGGACUGUAUUAACUAAGUUACUGCAUCUGUUGGCAAGAGGAAGGUGAGUGUAGAUGCCUUCUGUUGCUUGAAAGAAAGAAUGCAUGAGAUAUUUUGUGUCCAGUUAGUGUGUGUUGCUGGAUGACUUCAGGUACUGGGUUGCCUAGUCUUUUUUUUUUUUUACUUAAAAAAAACAAACUUUUAUACAUUUAUUUUUGCUUUUUUUGUUAACAAACAGAAUUAAAUAAAAGUUGCUUUUUGAAAA